rnacentral:rRNA from 1 species
GAUGAACGCUGGCGGCGUGCCUAAUACAUGCAAGUCGAGCGAACAGACGAGGAGCUUGCUCCUCUGACGUUAGCGGCGGACGGGUGAGUAACACGUGGAUAACCUACCUAUAAGACUGGGAUAACUUCGGGAAACCGGAGCUAAUACCGGAUAAUAUAUUGAACCGCAUGGUUCAAUAGUGAAAGACGGUUUUGCUGUCACUUAUAGAUGGAUCCGCGCCGCAUUAGCUAGUUGGUAAGGUAACGGCUUACCAAGGCGACGAUGCGUAGCCGACCUGAGAGGGGGAUCGGCCACACUGGAACUGAGACACGGUCCAGACCCCUACGGGAGGCAGCAGUAGGGAAUCUUCCGCAAUGGGCGAAAGCCUGACGGAGCAACGCCGCGUGAGUGAUGAAGGUCUUCGGAUCGUAAAACUCUGUUAUUAGGGAAGAACAAAUGUGUAAGUAACUAUGCACGUCUUGACGGUACCUAAUCAGAAAGCCACGGCUAACUACGUG